UACGUAGGUGGCAAGCGUUGUCCGGAAUUAUUGGGCGUAAAGCGCGCGCAGGCGGUCUCUUAAGUCUGAUGUGAAAUCUCGCGGCUCAACCGUGAGCGGUCAUUGGAAACUGGGAGACUUGAGUGCAGAAGAGAAGAGCGGAAUUCCACGUGUAGCGGUGAAAUGCGUAGAGAUGUGGAGGAACACCAGUGGCGAAGGCGGCUCUUUGGUCUGUAACUGACGCUGAGGCGCGAAAGCGUGGCGAGCGAACAGG
rnacentral:rRNA from 1 species